AAUGACUCUCGGCAACGGAUAUCUCGGCUCACGCAUCGAUGAAGAACGUAGCAAAAUGCGAUACUUGGUGUGAAUUGCAGAAUCCCGUGAACCAUCGAGUUUUUGAACGCAAGUUGCGCCCGAAGCCAUCCGGCCGAGGGCACGCCUGCCUGGGCGUCACGCA
rnacentral:rRNA from 1 species